ACACAUUCAAACACUCCUCUCCCUCACUCUCCCUCCAGUACACUCCUCAUCACCUCCACCAUGUUUUUUUCGGCAAGAUCACUGGAAAACCCUUAAGAACAUCACACCUUCACAUAAGUUGUUUGAGAGUAGGCAACUAUCAUUUUGAGACAGCUUUUUGGUGGCUAGCAGUAGUUAGGUUAGUUGCUGAUGGAGGCUGACUUUUGUGAUGAAGAUAAAUGAUGAUGUAUAACUUAGAGUAGGCUUGAUUCAAUUCUUUUGUAUCUAAUAGUGAUUAUGACUUUAUUUUCACUAAUGGGACAAGUUGAUGUUAUGUAAUUAUUUUAUUCAGACCUUCAUUCUUUUGUGACCAAUGGUCAUUGUAUUUAUUGCAUAGAGUUUUGACUUACUUUUGGAGUAUAUUUAAUAGAAUUAUUAUGAUAAUUCUUGA